GCUGGAUGUAGUGGUGUAUAAUUGUAUCCCCAGCUACUCAAGAGGCUGAAACAGGAGGAUCACUUGAACUCAGGGGUUCAAAACUAGCCUGGGCAACAUAGCAAGACCUUGUCUCAA
rnacentral:sRNA from 1 species